rnacentral:rRNA from 1 species
GACGAACGCUGGCGGCGUGCUUAACACAUGCAAGUCGAGCGGUAAGGCCCUUUCGGGGGUACGACGAGCGGCGAACGGGUAGAGUAACACGUGGGUGACCUCGCCCUCCAGCUCUGGGAGUAAGCCUGGGAAACCGGGUCUAAUACUGGAUAUGACUCCAUGACGCAUGUUGUGGGGUGGAAAGCCUUGUGCGGCUGAGGAUGGGCCCGCGGCCUAUCAGCUUGUUGGUGGGGUGAGGCCUACCAAGGCGACGACGGGUAGCCGGCCUGAGAGGGCGACCGGCCACACUGGGACUGAGACACGGCCCAGACUCCUACGGGAGGCAGCAGUGGGGAAUCUUGCGCAAUGGGCGAAAGCCUGACGCAGCGACGCCGCGUGAGGGAUGAC